CAAAGGUAAACGGGUGGGCCCUCGAAAUCCUGUGGCGAGAGGAUUCAGUCUGGGUCGGCGGACGUGCUGGUCGGAAACCGAGGCAGGGCCUCCCCGAGCGGGGGCCGUCCGGCCGCACGGAGAAACCGCGGCGCCAGACGCAUUUGACUCUCGCCCGAAGGACGCCGCAGCCGGCUGGGAAGUGCAAGCGCGACGGCCUGAGGGGCGGAAGAUGGCAGGUGGCCGGUGGCGUGCCUCGUGCGCGUCGCCGGUUGUUAGCCGUUCCGUCAGUGGCUCGUCUCCCGGCCGAGGUGUCGCUAGGCCCUUGAGGCCUCGUCGUCUCCUCCUUUGGAUGGCGGGACAGAGCGCCGCAGGUGGGAGCCGCCGCCCCGUUCGCACCCCGCAGGGGUGGUCGGGCGCGCGGAUCCCGCCGCUGGUGGCGCCGGUUCCGUCGGAGGCUGGAGGCUCGCGGCGAGUAGGUCGGUCACCCACCUGACCCGUCUUGAAACACGGACCAAGGAGUGUAACAUGUGCGCGAGUCAAUGGGUCUUGCUUAGGCCCAGGGGCGUAAUGAAAGCGAAGGCCGGCCUCACGCCGGCCGAGUUGGGAUCCCCGGCUCCGGCCGGGGCGCACCAACGACCCGUCCUAUCCGGCUCGCCGGUUGGGCGGAGUGUGAGCGCAGACGUUGCUACCCGAAAGAUGGUGAACUAUGCCCGGACAGGACGAGGCCAGAGGAAACUCUGGUGGAGGUCCGCACCGAUUCUGACGUGCAAAUCGAUCGUCAGAUCCUGGUAUAGGGGCG
rnacentral:rRNA from 1 species